UACAGAGGUCUCAAGCGUUGUUCGGAUUCAUUGAGCGUAAAGGGUGCGUAGGUGGGCAGGUAAGUCAGUGGUGAAAUCCCCGGGCUUAACCCGGGAACUGCCAUUGAUACUAUCUGUCUUGAAUAUCCUGGAGGUGAGCGGAAUAUGUCAUGUAGCGGUGAAAUGCUUAGAUAUGACAUAGAACACCCAUUGCGAAGGCAGCUCACUACGGGAUUAUUGACACUGAGGCACGAAAGCGUGGGGAUCAAACAGG
rnacentral:rRNA from 1 species